AGGGCACCACCAGGAGUGGAGCCUGCGGCUUAAUUUGACUCAACACGGGAAAACUCGCCCGGCCCGGACACCGGAAGGAUUGACAGAUUGAGAGCUCUUUCUUGAUUCAGUGGGUGGUGGUGCAUGGCCGUUCUUAGUUGGUGGGGCGAUUUGUCUGGUUAAUUCCGAUAACGAACGGGACUCUAGCCUACUAAAUAGAUCGUCGGCUUACAAACGCCGAUGAGACUUCUUAGAGGGACAGGCGGCGAUUCAGCCGCACGAAACAGAGCAAUAACAGGUCUGUGAUGCCCUUAGAUGUCCGGGGCCGCACGCGCGCUACACUGAAGUGAUCAGCGUGCAUUUUCAGCCUACUCUGCCAAGAGUGGGAAACCCAAUGAACCUUCUUCGUGAUUGGGAUAGGGGAUUGUAAUUAUUCCCCUUGAACGAGGAAUUCCCAGUAAGCGCGAGUCAUAAGCUCGCGUUGAUUACGUCCCUGCCCUUUGUACACACCGCCCGUCGCUACUACCGAUUGAAUGUUUU
rnacentral:rRNA from 1 species